CAGUAGCCGCGGGAAUACAGAGGGUGCGAGCGUUAAUCGGAUUUACUGGGCGUAAAGCGUGCGUAGGCGGCUUCUUAAGUCGGAUGUGAAAUCCCUGAGCUUAACUUAGGAAUUGCAUUCGAUACUGGGAAGCUAGAGUAUGGCAGAGGGGGGUAGAAUUCCACGUGUAGCAGUGAAAUGCGUAGAGAUGUGGAGGAAUACCGAUGGCGAAGGCAGCCCCCUGGGCCAAUACUGACGCUCAUGCACGAAAGCGUGGGGAGCAAACAGGAUUAGAUACCCCCGUAGUCCUGUCUCUUAUACA
rnacentral:rRNA from 1 species